GUUAGGAAUAUUGGGCAAUGGAGGGAACUCUGACCCAGCAACGCCGCGUGAAGGAAGAAGGUUUUCGGAUUGUAAACUUCUGAUCUAUGGGAAGAAGAAAGUGACGGUACCAUAGGAGAAAGCCACGGCUAACUACGUGCCAGCAGCCGCGGUAAUACGUAGGUGGCGAGCGUUGUCCGGAAUGACUGGGCGUAAAGGGAGCGUAGGUGGUUAUUUAAGUUAGAUGUGAAAGCCCAGGGCUCAACUCUGGAAUUGCAUUUAAAACUGGAUAACUAGAGUGCAGGAGGGGUGAACGGAAUUUCUAGUGUAGCGGUGAAAUGCGUAGAUAUUAGGAAGAACACCGGAGGCGAAGGCGGUUCACUGGACUGCAACUGACACUGAGGCUCGAAAGCGUGGGGAGCAAACAGGA
rnacentral:rRNA from 1 species